rnacentral:rRNA from 1 species
UGGGGAAUAUUGCACAAUGGGCGCAAGCCUGAUGCAGCCAUGCCGCGUGUGUGAAGAAGGCCUUCGGGUUGUAAAGCACUUUCAGCGAGGAGGAAGGUGGUGAACUUAAUACGUCAUCAAUUGACGUUACUCGCAGAAGAAGCACCGGCUAACUCCGUGCCAGCAGCCGCGGUAAUACGGAGGGUGCAAGCGUUAAUCGGAAUUACUGGGCGUAAAGCGCACGCAGGCGGUUUGUUAAGUCAGAUGUGAAAUCCCCGGGCUCAACCUGGGAACUGCAUUUGAAACUGGCAAGCUAGAGUCUCGUAGAGGGGGUAGAAUUCCAGGUGUAGCGGUGAAAUGCGUAGAGAUCUGGAGGAAUACCGGUGGCGAAGGCGGCCCCCUGGACGAAGACUGACGCUCAGGUGCGAAAGCGU